AUUAUUCAGCGGAGGAAAAGAAACCAAAAGGGAUACCCCCAGUAACGGCGAGUGAAAAGGGUCCAGCCCAGCGUGAAGGCCUGUCGUCCUCGUGGCGUGCAGUGCGGUGCCACGUGAGUGCCGGGGUGCUUGCCCCGGCCGACCAUCAGUCGCAAGUUCCUCUGACAAGGACUUCCCAGAGUGGGUGCCAGGCCCAUAGCGAAUCUUGGUCGGCCGGGCUAGUCCUGGUACGCUAGAGUCAGGUUGCUUGAGAGUGCAGCCCAAAUCAGCAGGUAAACUCCUGCUAAGGCUAAAUAUUACUGCGAGACCGAUAGCAAACAAGUACCGUGAGGGAAAGUUGCAAAGAACUUUGAAGAGAGAGUUCAACAGGACGUGAAACCGUUUGUAGGCAAACGGGUAGAACCACGAAGUCGGACCCGGGCGUGGAUUCAGCGUCGGARCGGCUCAGUYGGCGRYGGCGAGUGCUUUCAGCUUCGYUGUCGACGAYSAACGGCYGUUUCGGCGUGCAUUUCCGUAGCGCCCGGCGAUGAUGCCCUGACCGAUUGGAUGGCUUGCGGAGCGGUAACGGCUGUCGUGUGCCAGGUAGCUGCUGCGGUCCUCGGACCGUGUGCAGUGUUACAGGUGCUGCGACCGGAACUUCUGCAUAGCGUACCGAUCGGCUGCGCGAACACUCCUUGCGGAGUGGCCAGAAGGCCGUCGUGGCCGUUGUGUCGUGGUCAGUGCUUGUGCUGURCGUAUCGGCCGGUUCUGCCGGUCGAGCGURYGGUACAGGUCGGCCAGUUGCGAYRCGGCGGCUUGCGGCGGUCGGUGGCAAUCGAGGGCAAGUAGGUCGGUCAUCUACCCGACCCGUCUUGAAACACGGACCAAGGAGUCUAACAUGUGCGCGAGUCACUCGGUCUUGAAUAGGCCAGAGGGGCGYAGUGAAAGCAAAUGACGUGAUGRCCAGAAGGCUUCGUGCCCUSGYCCGCAACGUCGGCCCGCACGAGCGUCGUUUCGAAGGCUGUGCGGCGUCCGAGCGCAUACGUUGGUACCCGAAAGAUGGUGAACUAUGCCUGGGCAAGACGAAGCCAGUGGAAACUCUGGUGGAGGUCUGUAGCGAUUCUGACGUGCAAAUCGAUCGUCAGACCUGGGUAUAGGGGCGAAAGACUAAUCGAACCAUCUAGUAGCUGGUUCCCUCUGAAGUUUCCCUCAGGAUAGCAGGCGCUCGUAUUUGGAACAGUCGCAUCCGGUAAAGCGAAUGAUUAGAGGCAUUGGGGACGAAACGUCCUCAACCUAUUCUCAAACUUUAAAUGGGUGCGAGCGUGGACUCAAUUGAGUUGAGCCCGUCGCACGGAUGUUGAGCGGCCUAGUGGGCCAUUUUUGGUAAGCAGAACUGGCGCUGUGGGAUGAACCAAACGUGCAGUUAAGGCGUCCGAUGCAAACGCUCAUGAGAUCCCACAAAAGGUGUUGUUCGCUAUAGACAGCAGGACGGUGGCCAUGGAAGUCGGAAUCCGCUAAGGAGUGUGUAACAACUCACCUGCCGAAGCGAAUAGCCCUGAAAAUGGAUGACGCUGAAGCGUUGAGCCCAUACUGCACCCGGUGGCCAAUGUGAGCCGAGCGAACACGGCCACCGGAGUAAGAGGGUCGCGACGGUGGCGUCGAAGGUGUCGGCCGUGAGGCUGCCUGGAGCCGCCGUUGGUGCAGAUCUUGGUGGUAGUAGCAAAUACUCAAGUGAGACCCUUGAGGACCAAUGAGGAGAAGGGUUUCAUGUGAACAGCAGUUGGACAUGAGUCAGUCGGCCCUAAGCGGAUCGCGAAAGCGACUCUGAUGUAACGCGUGAGCGUUCGURCCGCGAAAGGGAAUCGGGUUAAUAUUCCCGAACCUAGACACGGAGACGCGUCGGYUGUUCGCARCCGACCAGACCGGUAACGGAAACGAGCUCGGAAAUGUCGGCCCAAGUCCCGGGAAGAGUUGUCUUUUCUUUGUAAGACGUCGARUCYCUGGAAUCGGUUUGCCCGGAGAUAGRGAYGCAGACGUCGUAAAGCAGCGCGGCUCUUGYGCUGUCCGGAGCGCUCGGGUCGGCCCUUGAAAAUCCGAGUGAGUGGGUGUAAGUUUCGUGCUAGGCCGUACCCGAUAUCCGCAGCAGGUCUCCAAGGUGAACAGCCUCUGGUUGCUUAGCAAAAUGUAGGUAAGGGAAGUCGGCAAAACGGAUCCGUAACUUUGGGACAAGGAUUGGCUCUGAGGACUGAGCUGGUCGGGCUGUGACGGGAUGUGGCGGCUUUGUCUGGACCUGGGCUGAUUGGCGGUCGGUAAAACGGCUGCCGGUCGGAUCGGGACCGGACGGCUACUUCGAACUGUCGCAGCUGGGCCCGUCGCGGMCGUSGGSMACGKCGYUGCGGUGGCGGAUCACCCUUCGGCCAGCAGUAAACAGUCGCACUCAGAACUGGCACGGACCACGGGAAUCCGACUGUCUAAUUAAAACAAAGCGUUGUGAUGGCCGGYGAUCGGUGCUGACACAACG
rnacentral:rRNA from 1 species